rnacentral:rRNA from 1 species
AUUGAACGCUGGCGGCAUGCCUUACACAUGCAAGUCGAACGGUAACGGGCCUUCGGGUGCCGACGAGUGGCGAACGGGUGAGUAAAGUAUCGGAACGUACCUUUCAGUGGGGGAUAACGUAGCGAAAGUUACGCUAAUACCGCAUAUUCUGGGCGCAGGAAAGCAGGGGAUCGCAAGACCUUGCGCUGAUUGAGCGGCCGAUAUCAGAUUAGCUAGUUGGUGAGGUAAAGGCUCACCAAGGCGACGAUCUGUAGCGGGUCUGAGAGGAUGAUCCGCCACACUGGAACUGAGACACGGUCCAGACUCCUACGGGAGGCAGCAGUGGGGAAUUUUGGACAAUGGGGGCAACCCUGAUCCAGCCAUGCCGCGUGAGUGAAGAAGGCCUUCGGGUUGUAAAGCUCUUUCGGCCGGGAAGAAAUCGUAUCAGCUAAUACCUGGUGCGGAUGACGGUACCGGCAUAAGAAGCACCGGCUAACUACGUGCCAGCCGCCGCGGUAAUAC